UUGAUCCUGGCUCAGAUUGAACGCUGGCGGCAUGCUUUACACAUGCAAGUCGAACGGCUCCACGGGGGCAACCCUGGUGGCGAGUGGCGAACGGGUGAGUAAUGCAUCGGAACGUAUCCUUGAGUGGGGGAUAACGCAGCGAAAGUUGUGCUAAUACCGCAUAAGCUCUGAGGAGGAAAGCGGGGGACCGAAAGGCCUCGCGCUGAAGGAGCGGCCGAUGUCCGAUUAGCUAGUUGGUGAGGUAAAGGCUUACCAAGGCGACGAUCGGUAGCUGGUCUGAGAGGAUGAUCAGCCACACUGGGACUGAGACACGGCCCAGACUCCUACGGGAGGCAGCAGUGGGGAAUUUUGGACAAUGGGGGAAACCCUGAUCCAGCCAUGCCGCGUGAGUGAAGAAGGCCUUCGGGUUGUAAAGCUCUUUCGUGAGGGAAGAAAAGGUUCAGGCGAAUAACCUGGAUUGAUGACG
rnacentral:rRNA from 1 species